AGUUAGGUAAGCUGGGGUAUCGGGCCUCUGCUAAAAAGGCUCAGUUAUGCCAGAUAGAAGUGACCUACCUAGGAUAUGUCUUGAGAGAUGGACAACGGUGGCUCACAGAAGCCAGAAAACAAGCUGUUAUGCAGAUCCCGGCCCCAACCACUGCUCGCCAGGUGCCGCAUCAGUUUGAAGUAGGAGAAGCAGUCCUGGUGAGGAGACACCGAGCGGGAAACCUAGAACCGAGGUGGAAGGGACCCUACUUGGUGCUACUGACAACGCCCACCGCGGUCAAAGUGGAAGGAAUCCCCACUUGGGUCCACGCAUCCCACGUUAAGAGAGCACCCCCUGGAGUCAGCCAUGAUGAGUGGACUUUGGAGAAGACUACUAAUCCUUUUAAGUUGCGCCUGCUUCGUAGGAGCGAUCCCAAAAGACUUCAACCCCCACAGUCCUGUUCAACAAACGUGGGAGGUACUCAAUGAGGGGGGUAGGGCUGUAUGGACAAUCGCCGAGGUACACCCUCUGUGGACUUGGUGGCCUGAUCUUUUCCCUGGCUAUAGGAGCCCCUCCUGGAUGGGACUUGGAGGGGUACUCUGACAUUCAGAGGGCACCUUUAACACCCCCUCCGUACGUAGAAAAACAUUCGAGAGACCCAUGGGGUGGUUGCUCUAACCAAAGGGAUAGAAGUAUGCUUCGAACCCAUCCCUUCUAUGUCUGCCCCGGGCCCCACCGAAGUCAGUCCCUCAAUCCAACAUGUGGAGGUAAGGCUGACUUCUUUUGUAAGAGCUGGGGUUGCGAGACUUCAGGUACAGCCCGCUGGAAGCCCUCCUCGAGCUGGGACUAUAUUAGAGUAACAGCCAACUAUUCCCUAGCGUCUUAUGUACCUGGAGGAUUUGACCUAGACGAGUGUACUGACUGGUGCCAUCCGCUCCGUGUCACCUUCACUGAACCAGGGAAGAGAGCUCUGGGAUGGACAAAAGGGUAUACCUGGGGUCUUAGGAUUUACAAGGAAAGAUAUGAUGAGAGAUUAUUGUUCACUAUCAGAUUAAAAAUAGAGACCCCCUACAAUCCUUUAGGCCCCCCAACCAAGUUCACACCCCUCACCCAUACAAUUACUCAGCCUACUCCAGUGAUUGCGGACCCCCUUAAUAUGGCCGCUAUCACCCAACCUCCCACUCCUCAGGUACCUCUAACUAUUACCCCCGAGAUUCCUUCAAGACAGAGGAUGUUUAACCUAGUGAGAGGAGCCUUUUAUGCCCUUAACAGAACUGAUCCAAGCGCUACUGAGGACUGCUGGCUAUGCCUGUCCCCGGGUCCGCCUUAUUAUGAAGGAAUCGCCUUCAAUGGAGAUUUCAACAGAACCAGCAGCCAUACUUCCUGCUCUUGGGGUACAGGACAAAAACUGAUCCUGACUAAAGUAUCCGCGAGGAAUCCAGGUCUCUGUAUAGGUACCCCACCUUCCACUCACAAACACCUAUGCGGACAAAUUCAGUCCGUGUCCAGAACGGAAGCUGAUUACUAUCUUGUACCUUCCCCGGUUGGAUGGUGGGCUUGCAAUACAGGACUUACUCCCUGUGUAUCAACUAAGGUUUUUAAUUCAUCUCAUGAUUUUUGUGUCAUGAUCCAGCUGUUACCCCGUGUAUAUUAUCACCCUGCAUCCAGUUUAGAAGAAAGCUAUGCGGGCCGGCGGUCAAAAAGAGAACCAAUUACUUUAACCCUGGCUGCAUUCAUGGGAAUAGGUAUGGCAGUAGGAGUGGGGACGGGAGUGUCAGCUUUGAUAGAAGGAAGACAGGGAAUUCAGUCUUUGAGGGAUGCUGUCAAUGAAGACCUAGCGGCAAUAGAGAAGUCCAUAGACACUUUAGAAAAAUCUUUGACCUCCCUGUCUGAGGUAGUUUUACAGAACAGGAGAGGUCUUGAUUUGUUGUUCCUAAAGGAAGGAGGACUGUGUGCUGCCCUUAAAGAAGAGUGCUGCUUCUAUGCAGAUCAUACAGGAAUAGUUAGAGACUCUAUGCAGAAACUGAGAGAAAGAUUAGAGCGAAGGAAACGGGAACGGGAUGCUCAACGGGGGUGGUUUGAGUCGUGGUUUGAAUCACGACCAUCUUGGAUAACUUCUUUAAUUUCCGCUGUAGCCGGACCAAUCCUUAUGAUAUGCUUAGCUUUAGUUUUCGGCCCUUGUAUAAUAAAUAGAGGAAUGGCUUUCAUCCAGAGUAAAAUUGAUACAGUAAAACUCAUGGUUCUUCAAAGGCAAUAUCAACCUAUAGUUCAGGUAGAUGAAGAGUUAAGGGACACCGACCUCUAAAAUUCUAUGUUUAGAAUUAGUCUAAACAGAAGAAGAGGGGAAUGAAAGGAAAUAAAACUGUAAUUCAUGUAAUGUAUGUUAAAUAGCCCAAAGAGUUGUUUCUGAGCUUUGAAACCUGGGGCUGAGAACAUAGCAGAACAGACCAGGACAUGCCCGGGCAAGCCCAUCGCCUCCCUAGCUCCCACCCCUCUGACCUAAGUUAAAUGUUACAGGCUGCUGAUGUUUAAAUGGACCAAUCAUGUGAAACCGCGCCAAUUCCUCCCCUAGCCCCACUCCUUUUCUAUAAAACCCCCUAGCUUCCAAGCCUAGUGGUCAAAUCCACUGUCUCCUGUUGUGUGAGAUACGUUUCGACCCGGAGCUCCG
rnacentral:lncRNA from 1 species